UAGGUCCAGUUCCAGCUCAUGUCCGCCUCCGGACCUCCGGAGAACUCCGGUGUCUUCGCCGCUGCCGCCGCCACCGCCGCCGCCGCCCGACUCUUCUCCCUCCUUGAGUCAACCCGCACCCCCACUUCCACGCCGGAUGCGUCCACCCACGUCGAAAUUACCACUCUACCCAUCCUCAUAUCACCCAAGAUCGCCGCAU
rnacentral:lncRNA from 1 species